ACGCUCGACACCUACGGGGGGCAGCAGUAGGGAAUCUUCCACAAUGGACGCAAGUCUGAUGGAGCAACGCCGCGUGAGUGAAGAAGGUUUUCGGAUCGUAAAGCUCUGUUGUUGGUGAAGAAGGAUAGAGGUAGUAACUGGCCUUUAUUUGACGGUAAUCAACCAGAAAGUCACGGCUAACUACGUGCCAGCAGCCACGGUAAUCUGAGCGGGCUGGCAAGGC
rnacentral:rRNA from 1 species